GGAAGGGUCGCAUAGUCUGGCCUAGUGCGCACGAUUGGAAAUCGUGUAGGCGGUAAAACGUCUCGAGGGUUCGAAUCCCUCCCCUUCCG
rnacentral:tRNA from 2 species